ACUCUCUCUCGUGGCUUUAUAUGGAAAUGCCACAUUAGUGUUUUGUUGUCAAAACCUUGUCUCAUUUUAAUAAAAAGAAUAGAAGAAGCCCAAAAGCCCCAAUUUUUCUCUCACUAUUAGUCAUCCUUCUUCUGCUUCUCUCACCACUAUUCUCACACCUCUUUCUCAUCUGUCUCUCCGGCGCCGUCGCUGCUGUCCAAGGGUGUCGGUUGCCAUUUUUCUCUUUCCUCUGCUUCAUUUAAAAUAUGGUGAGUUGAUGUCAUUGAUGUGCUGUUCUGCUGUUGCUAUUGCUGGUUGUUGUUAAUGGCGGUUCAUCGCCGGAAAUGGCAGCCACAUGCUGCUCCUUUUGUGUAUGUAUUCUGGUGCUCCUAUUUCAUUCUUUCUACUAUUUAGUAUAUUAGUGAAGGUACAAAGUUAUAAUCUUUACUUCAGAUUUAUUAUUGUUGGAUUACACUAGAAAAUUCAGUUCUAAAUUUUACAAUGGGAUUGAAAAAUUAGUUGUGAUAAGGAUUUGUAGAAUUUAAAGAUUGGUUUUUUCCUCUUUAUUUAAUCAAUUGAAAGUUAAGAUA